AGGAGCUGAAGGGACCAGCUUGGCCGUCAGUUGCAAGGAUGUGAGGCAGAAGCAACACAAAAGAUCUUGAUAUGAAGCAAUUAUUUUUGGUCUUAAACUGCUGGGACUCCAGAUGACCCAGACCAUGGUCAGCAGGCAGAAGCCAGAUGCUAUUGUCAAUAGAAUUGCCUUCAAGAUUCCUUUUCUGAUUGUUCAUUGCUGAGACAUGGUCUUGCUCUGUCACCUAGGCUGUAAUACAGUGGCGUGAUCCUAGCUCACAGCAGCCUCCAACUCCUGGGCUCAAGAGAUCCUCCUGCCUCAGCCUUCUGACUAGCUGGGACUACAGGAAUGUGCUACCACACCCAGCUAAUUUUUUAAUUUUUUGUAGAGAUGACAUCUCACUAUAUUGCCCAGGCUGGUCUUGAACUUCUAGCCUCAAGCAAUCCUCCCACCUCAGCCUCUGAACGUGCUGGAAUUACAGAUGGAGCAACUGAGAUUCUUCCCCAACUAGACUAUAAGUUCUCUGAGGGAUAAGGAACAUGUCUGGUUUCCUCAUCUGUCUGUCACAGCACCCUGUGAAUGCCUAGAAGACAGUAAGAAUGAACUGAAUGUUUGUAGAAAGAAUAACGAUAAUUACCUAUAGUCUAAAGGUUUAGUGAUGAAAUGAAGUCCACUAAGUUCUCUCUGCUUAUUUCCACCCUCAAUAAUAUAUUUCCUCAAACCCCACAG
rnacentral:antisense_RNA from 1 species